rnacentral:miRNA from 15 species
CCUUAUCAUUCUCUUGCCCGGC